rnacentral:rRNA from 1 species
AACGAACGCUGGCGGCGUGCCUAACACAUGCAAGUCGAACGAGAAAGCUCCGUUCGGGGGUUAGUAAAGUGGCGCAAGGGUGAGUAACACGUGAAUAAUCUGCCCUCGAACUUGGGAUAACUUGGCGAAAGUUGAGCUAAUACCAGAUAAGACCACGCUUCGUAAGAAGCGCGGCCAAAGGGGUCUCAAUCCCCGUUUGAGGAUGAGUUCGCGGACCAUUAGCUUGUUGGUGAGAUAAAAGCUCACCAAGGCUUCGAUGGUUAGCCGGCCUGAGAGGGUGAUCGGCCACACUGGAACUGAGACACGGUCCAG